rnacentral:rRNA from 1 species
AUGAGCGUUGGCGGCGUGGAUUAGGCAUGCAAGUCGAACGGGUCCGGCCUUCGGGCCGGGCCAGUGGCGCAAGGGUGAGUAGGCGACGGCAACCCCCCCCGGGGUUGGGCAUAGCCGCGGGAAACUGCGGGUAAUUCCCAGCGAUGUUCGGUGCGGGCAUCCGGACCGAACCAAAGUUCCAACGCCCCGGGACGGGCCGUCGUGGUAUUAGGUCGUUGGGCGGGGUAAUGGCCCACCAAGCCUGUGAUGCCUACCGGGCGUGCGAGCGUGGCCCGGCACACUGGGACUGAGACACUGCCCAGACUCCUACGGGAGGCUGCAGUCGAGAAUCUUCGGCAAUGGGCGCAAGCCUGACCGAGCGACGCCGCGUGGAGGAUGAAGGCCUUCGGGUUGUAAACUCCUGUCGAGGGGGAGGAAGGCCGGGCGACCGGCUUGACCGAUCCCUGGAGGAAGCACGGGCUAAGUUCGUGCCAGCAGCCGCGGGUAAGACGAACCGUGCGAACGUUAUUCGGAAUCCACUGGCUUAAAGCGCGUGUAGGCGGAUGGGGACGUCGGUCGCUGAAAGCCCCCGGCUCAACCGGGGAAAGGGCGCCGAAACGCCCCGUCUCGAGGGACGGAGGGGGACCUGGAACUUCCGGUGGAGCGGGUGAAAUGCGCGUUGAGAUCGGAAAGGAACGCCGACGGCGAAAGCGAGGUCCUGGACGUCCAGCUGACGCUGAGGCGCGAAAGCCAGGGGAGCGAACGGUGAUUAGAUACCCUGGUAGUCCUGGCUUGUAAACGAUGGGCACUAGGGCGGCGAGCUCGCCGAUGGGCGCGCCGCCCAAGCGAAAGCGUGAAGUGCCCGCCUGGGGAGUAUGGGCGCAAGGCUGAAACUCAAAGGAAUUGACGGGGGCUCACACAAGCGGUGGAGCAUGUGGCUCAAUUCGAAGCUACGCGAAGAACCUUAUCCUGGGCUUGACAUGCACGAUUAGCCGGCGGAGGAAACGUCGGUGACGCCGCAAGGUGGAACGUGCACAGGUGCUGCAUGGCUGUCGUCAGCUCGUGCCGUGAGGUGUUGGGUUAAGUCCCGUAACGAGCGUAACCCCUGUGGUCAGUUGCCCAACGCGUCAAGGCGGGGACUCUGGCCAGACCGCCGGGCGUCAAGCCGGAGGAAGGCGGGGACGACGUCAAGUCAUCAUGGCCCUUAUGCCCAGGGCUGCACACGUGCUACAAUGGGACGGACAGAAGCGUCGCCAGGCCGCAAGGGCCGCGCCAAUCGCCAAAACCACCCCCCAGUUUCGGAUUGCAAACUGCAACCAGCCCGCAUGAAGCCGGAAUCGCUAGUAAUCGCCGAUCAGCACUGCGGCGGUGAAUGUGUUCCUGAGCCUUGUACCACACGCCCGUCAAGCCACCAAAGCGGGGGGCAUCCGAAGUCGUCGGAGCCGCAAGGCAGGCGCCGAAGAUGAAACCCGUGAUGGGGACU